CGGGGGGUAGCUCAGUGGCAAAGCACCAGCAGUCCACUGCUGGUGGUCGUAGGUUCAAAUCCUGCCCCACCCGACCA
rnacentral:tRNA from 5 species